UUACUUUGGUGAAGUUUUCGGAUGGAUCUGAUAUGACUGAGUGGCGGACGGGUGAGUAACGCGUGAGCAACCUGCCCUUCGGAACGGGAUAGUGUCUGGAAACGGACAGUAAUACCGUAUAACGUAUUUUUACCGUCAUGAUAGAAAUACCAAAACUGAGGUGCCGAAGGAUGGGCUCGCGUCUGAUUAGAUAGUUGGUGGGGUAACGGCCUACCAAAGCAACGAUCAGUAGCCGGCUUGAGAGAGUGAACGGCCACAUUGGGACUGAGACACGGCCCAAACUCC
rnacentral:rRNA from 1 species